AAGCCCCGGCUAACUACGUGCCAGCAGCCGCGGUAAUACGUAGGGUGCAAGCGUUAAUCGGAAUUACUGGGCGUAAAGCGUGCGCAGGCGGUUGUGCAACACAGAUGUGAAAUCCCCGGGCUCAACCUGGGAACUGCAUUGGGGGAUGCAUAUCCGGGGGCAGCAGGGGGAGGGGGAAUAUUCCGUGUGGAGCUGUAAUGUGUAUAGAUCUGGCGAGGCACCCGUGUGGAAAACGGGGCCCUAGG
rnacentral:rRNA from 1 species